UAGGCUCAAGCCCCAGCCCUGCCGCAGGGGGUCGCCAGGAGCGCUUGGCGCCCCUGAGGGUCCCGCCCAGCCUUGCCCCGCCCCGUCCAGCACUUACCUGCAGCGGCCUGGCCAACGCGGUGGCCUGACCCCGCGUCCCGGGGGCCCACAGCAGAGGCGAGGGCGCCGGAGCUGGGCUCAGCAGUGGUGCACACAGACGGCGGGCACACCCCGCGAAGGCUCCAAUGAGAUCAGGGGCGGGAAGCACUCUGCAAACUGUUAA
rnacentral:lncRNA from 1 species